AGAGUUUGAUCCUGGCUCAGAUUGAACGCUGGCGGCAUGGCUAAAACAUGCAAGUCGAACGCGAACGGGGCUUCGGCCCUCAGUAGAGUGGCGAAAGGGCGAGUAAUGCAUACUUAACGUACCCUCAGGUGCGGGAUAGCUCGGGGAAACCCGUGGUAAUACCGCAUAAUCCGGGAAACCGGCAAAGGCUUGCUGCCUGAGGAUCGGAGUAUGUCCUAUCAGCUUGUUGGUGAGGUAAAGGCUCACCAAGGCGAAGACGGGUAGCGGGUGUGAGAGCACGGCCCGCCGCAUCGGGACUGAGACACUGCCCGGACUCCUACGGGAGGCUGCAGUAACGAAUAUUCCGCAAUGCGCGAAAGCGUGACGGAGCAAUGCCGCGUGUGGGAUGAAGCCCCUCGGGGUGUAAACCACUGUCAGGGUUUAGGAAUCAUGACCAGACCCAGAGGAAGGACCGGCUAACUCUGUGCCAGCAGCCGCGGUAAUACAGAGGGUCCAAGCGUUAAUCGGAAUCACUGGGCUUAAAGGGUGCGCAGGCGGGCUUGUAGGUAUCUUGUGAAAUCCCACGGCUUAACCGUGGAAUCGCUCGGUAAACCCCAAGCCUUGAGCGCGACAGGGGCCGUCGGAACGGU
rnacentral:rRNA from 1 species